UACGGAGGGUGCUAGCGUUGUUCGGAAUCACGUGGCGUAAAGGGCGUGUAGGCGGCCUGUUAAGUCUGAUGUGAAAUCCCCUCGCUCAACGAGGGAACUGCGUCGGAUACUGGCAGACUCGAGUACCGGAGAGGAAGGUGGAAUUCCCGGUAUAGCGGUGAAAUGCGUAGAUAUCAGGAGGAACACCGGUGGCGAAGGCGGGUCUCUGGGCCGAAAUUGACGCUGAGGAGCGAAAGCGUGGGGAGCAAACAGG
rnacentral:rRNA from 1 species